AUGAGGUUGAUGCACACAACAUUGUUCCUCUUUGGGUGGCAUCAAAUAAAUUGGAAUACAGUGCUAGAACGAUACGUGGUAAAAUAAAUAAGCUGCUUCCUGAGUAUCUGAUUGAAUUGCCUGCAAUAGAGCCUCUUAAGAUAAAGUGGUCUUCUUCAAACGCUCCAAUAGAUUGGCCAAAACUAGUUUCAGAUGUUGUAAGGAAAGGAGCAGAAGUACCUGAACUUGAA
rnacentral:misc_RNA from 1 species